rnacentral:rRNA from 1 species
GACGAACGCUGGCGGCGCGCUUAACACAUGCAAGUCGAACGGAAAGGCCUGCUUUCCCUUGUGGAUUGCGGGUACUCGAGUGGCGAACGGGUGAGUAACACGUGAGUGAUCUGCCCCCAACUUGGGUAUAAGCCUGGGAAACUGGGUCUAAUUCCCGAUAGGACUGCAGGGUGGUGCCUGUGGUGGAAAACGAUUUUCUAGUGGUUGGGGAUGAGCUCGCGGCCUAUCAGCUUGUUGGUGGGGUAAUGGCCUACCAAGGCGGCGACGGGUAGCCGGCCUGAGAGGGUGGACGGCCACAUUGGGACUGAGAUACGGCCCAGACUCCUACGGGAGGCAGCAGUGGGGAAUAUUGCACAAUGGGCGGAAGCCUGAUGCAGCGACGCCGCGUGGGGGAUGACGGCCUUCGGGUUGUAAACUCCUUUCGACCGCGAGGAAGCCACCUGGUUGGAAGGGUGGUGACGGUAGUGGUAGAAGAAGCACCGGCUAACUGCGUG